CAGGAGUGAAGGAUCAGCAACCAAAAGAAGAAACACAGGAAAACCAGCAGGGCACUCUGGAAUGGAGCGGACCUAAUGUAAGGUGGCGGCAAAGACAUGCUGACCCAGGGAGACUGGUCUCUAAGUGAGUUCAGAGCUUUGAGGUAUGGGAGAUGGGGAACAAGGAGGCCCAAAGACGCAGUGUCAGAGAGCCCUAGGGAAGGAGUUUCUUCUUGUUGCUAUUAUCAUUUAAUUUGCAUAGAGUAAAAUUCACUUUUUUUGGUGUAGUCUUAUGGGUU
rnacentral:lncRNA from 1 species